CAAAGUGGGACAAAAACUCCUGUCCUGAAAGUGGGGAGUGGAAGAUUUCUCUGCAGUACAUUCAAGAACAGAAACUCUAGAAGGAUUUAACUGUCACAAUUUAACCAACAUCCAUUGAGAAAUGAGCUUGCCCCCAAAAUAUCACAUAUCCGUAGCCAGUAGGAAUCAGGACAUGAUAACACUACCAUAGUAUAUAUGGAUGGCCAGGUAAAACUGAAAACUGAAUAUUCAAAGUUGUUCUAGACAUGUAUAGCUGAGAUAAACAAGAAACUAAUAGGCAAACAUCUCAUUCAUUCAUCUUCACAAACAGAAGAUCAUUGUGUCCAGUAGAUGAAGAUAGAAGAUACCACUGCUGCAUGAAAGUCAUUGGCAGAGAUAUUGGACAUUGAGUAUAUGCCAAAAGGAUUCAUUCAUAGGCUUUAAGUGAUAAAUGGAAAAGAAGGGGAAGAUUUCUACGAAGUCCAAGUGCCCUUCAUCUCAUUAAUUGUUGGAUUCAAGUGAUGAUUGGAGAAGGAGAGGAUUUCUAUGAUGUCCAACUUGGUGCCAUCCAUCUCAUUACUUGGUCAUCCCAUAUAUGAAGACCAAAGAGCAACCACUGAAGGAAAACUUUACCGAUGGAUUUCAUCCAAUAGGCCCUGGUGGUGAAGUAAUGCUAAAUGGCAGUAGAGGCUUGUGAGCAACUAGCCUAAUUGGGAAAUUGGUGUAGUCCUCCACCUUGCACUGCUUCAUGCCCAUUACUGUUUUAUUAAGUAGAAUGAGUGCACUAGUAGAUGAAACCCGACUUUCUGUGAUAUGAACACAACGUUAACAUUCUUCUCUUUUAAUUUUUUCUUAA